rnacentral:rRNA from 1 species
AGUCACGAGUUUGAUCCUGGCUCAGAUUGAACGCUGGCGGAAUGCUUUACACAUGCAAGUCGAACGGUAGAGGGGGCAACCCUUGAGAGUGGCGAACGGGUGAGUAAUAUAUCGGAACGUGCCCAGUCGUGGGGGAUAACGUAGCGAAAGUUACGCUAAUACCGCAUACGAUCUAAGGAUGAAAGCGGGGGAUCGCAAGACCUCGCGCGAUUGGAGCGGCCGAUAUCAGAUUAGGUAGUUGGUGGGGUAAAGGCUCACCAAGCCAACGAUCUGUAGCUGGUCUGAGAGGACGACCAGCCACACUGGAACUGAGACACGGUCCAGACUCCUACGGGAGGCAGCAGUGGGGAAUUUUGGACAAUGGACGCAAGUCUGAUCCAGCCAUUCCGCGUGCAGGAUGAAGGCCCUCGGGUUGUAAACUGCUUUUGUACGGAACGAAAAGGUUUCUCUUAAUACGAGGAGCUCAUGACGGUACCGUAAGAAUAAGCACCGGCUAACUACGUG